AGUGCCGUUGAUACUGUAGGGCUAGGAUUUGGUUGCUGUGGGUGGAAUGUGUGGUGUAGCGGUGAAAUGCUUAGAUAUCACACAGAAUAUCGAUUGCGAAGGCAGCUCACAAAGCCAAGAUUGACGCUGAGGCACGAAAGUGUGGGGAUCAAACAGGAUUAGAUACCCUGGUAGUCCACACUGUAAACGAUGAUAACUCGCUGCCGGCGAUACACAGUCGGUGGCCAAGCGAAAGCGAUAAGUUAUCCACCUGGGGAGUACGACCGCAAGGUUGAAACUCAAAGGAAUUGACGGGGGCCCGCACAAGCGGAGGAACAUGUGGUUUAAUUCGAUGAUACGCGAGGAACCUUACCCGGGCUCGAACGGUGCAUGAAUAUACAAGAGAUUGUAUAGUCCUUCGGGACAUGUAUCGAGGUGCUGCAUGGUUGUCGUCAGCUCGUGCCGUGAGGUGUCGGCUUAAGUGCCAUAACGAGCGCAACCCUUGUCAUUAGUUACCAUCAGGUCAAGCUGGGGACUCUAAUGAGACUGCCACCGUAAGGUGUGAGGAAGGGGGGGAUGACGUCAAAUCAUCAUGCCCCUUAUGACCUGGGCUACACACGUGCUACAUGGCCGAUACAGAGAGAAGCGAAAGCGCGAGCGGAGCGGAUCUCACAAAAGCGGUCGAGUCGGAUGUGGGCUGCACCCGC
rnacentral:rRNA from 1 species